rnacentral:rRNA from 1 species
GUGGGGAAUAUUGGACAAUGGGGGGAACCCUGAUCCAGCCAUGCCGCGUGUGUGAAGAAGGCCUUUUGGUUGUAAAGCACUUUAAGCGAGGAGGAGGCUACCGAGAUUAAUACUCUUGGAUAGUGGACGUUACUCGCAGAAUAAGCACCGGCUAACUCUGUGCCAGCAGCCGCGGUAAUACAGAGGGUGCAAGCGUUAAUCGGAUUUACUGGGCGUAAAGCGCGAGUAGGUGGCCAAUUAAGUCAAAUGUGAAAUCCCCGAGCUUAACUUGGGAAUUGCAUUCGAUACUGGUUGGCGAGAGUAUGGGAGAGGAUGGUAGAAUUCCAGGUGUAGCGGUGAAAUGCGUAGAGAUCUGGAGGAAUACCGAUGGCGAAGGCAGCCAUCUGGCCUAAUACUGACACUGAGGUGCGAAAGCAUGGGGAGCAAACAGGAUUAGAUACCCCGGUAGUCC